UUGCGUAUGUUAGCCACCAUAUCAUGCUUAGUCGCUGCUGCAACCUCACCACUUUACCCCUUCCUUUCCCAUUAAGCUUUGCUAGUCUUGAUACCCAUGGUAAUGGGAUUGCUGAGUCCUCGUGGCUCACAGAUACUUCCAAAACCAGUUUGCAGGUGCCUAUGUUACCGAGCAGGUGACGCAACCAAGCUCAAGGAGGAGCUUGAUGAAGAUCUUGCCCUUUGUGUUGUUUCGUUCUAGUUGAUCAGUAGUGGAGCCCAGUUGGGGUCGAUCGGGGACCUUUGUCGCAUUUGGGGUUCUUCUUUUAUUUUGCUUCCGUAGUCGGACCUUGACUGUAUCUGAAUGAUGGAUGUUUUAUUUAUGUAUUGUGUGAAGUGGCGACUGUAAGCCAACUAUGUAUCUCUUUCCCUUAGGUAUUACAUGGGUUGUGUGAAGAUUACCUCACUUGCGACAUUGCUUUCAAUGCGGUUAUGCCUCUAAGUCGUGCUUUGACACGUGGGAGAUAUAGCCGCAUCGAGGGCGUUACAAGUUGGUAAUCAGAGCCUUCCCCGACCUUAGGAGCCCCAUUGCUUGAUCGUUUUUAGCGGCCGAGUUGUGUCUAGAAAAAUGUUUUGAGUCAUUUAGGAUUAUAUAUAUCGGAGAGUUAGGAAUUCUUUUUACUCCCCAGUCUCUUCAUCGCUCUGGUAAGGCAUCCUGACGUAGAGUUUUGACUCUUCUCUUCUCAAAUUUCACUAAAAAAAUUUUAGGAUCACGCGGGUAUCUUGGAAUUGUUCCGAUGGUUUUAUGGUGAGAACAUUGUCUUGGUGCCUCCUGUCAGGGGUUUAGUGGAAGUGUCCCGGGGAGUUGAGCUCUGAGGUGUUGUCGCCAUAAUUUUAUCGUUGCAGUUCUGGAAUACCUGAGUUUAGUACGCCGACAUCGAAAAUCUCUUUUAUGCAGUUCGUUGGUGAGAUAACCUCGACGCCACCCAGUACUGGGGCGAGAGUUCGGGAGUAUCGCCAUAACUUGUAUAACGGAUGCUUUUCGAAGGUUGAGGUAGACGAUUUCCGAAGGUUUCUUGGUUAUGUGUUGAAGGAUGGAUACAGCUGGAUGUAGGAUUUGCUAGUUUUGGGUGAGAUAUUAUGCUUCCCAUGUAUCCCCAACACCUGAUUGCAUAACCGGAAAAUUUCGGGAGUUUCAUAGGUGGGAAUUCAAGUAGCUCUUAGGAUAUCUUUCCGACGGAUGUAUGAUAUGAAAUUGGGGUUCGACGUCUAGUGGUCCGCCUAUUCACGGUUGGUUUUACAGUGGUCUUGUUGUGUCUUAAAGAGUCCUUGGCUAUGCCGACUCGGGGACGCUUCGUAUGUCAUGUGCACUGCCUUGUACAUGAUGAUGCUGUACGAUCGAGCCCGUGUAGGCCCCACCACGAAAACUUCGGACGAAAUCUCUAUCAUAUGUUUGUUCCGGCUUAUUCUACAAGCCAAAUCCUUUGUUUUGUUUUAUUUGUGGUAUUCGAGUUGCUUCCAAGUCAAAUGUUGAAUCCAUACCUUUUCCUAAACGGUGUUCUCAUAUUGCUAUGUGAAUACUAAUCCUUUUGAUCAUCGAGAUUGUCAUGUCAAUUCUUUCCAACCGGUGUGCUUCUCUUCAAGUGAAUCCGAUCAUUUCAACAUUUGUGAGAUCAAUUCUAAGUUUUCUCAACGGUAUCCGUUUCAUCCGUCCCCAAGUUGCCUUUGUUUUCCCGCCCUCCCACCCUUUUUCUUCAAGGACUCAGAUUUCUUAAUCAUGUAUCCUUUUAUUUGUGAGAAGUCUCUUCAUUCUUUUCUUUCAAUGUUCUUAUCCGGUGAUUUCCCAUGAAGAUGCUCAACAGUUUCAAGUUCAUCAUCCUUCGUUCUUUUUUCUUCUCCGGUGGAUCCAAUUCAAGCUUUCAGUGUUGAUCAUAUUCCUUUCUUCGUGUCAAAUGCUUUCUCAUGCCGGUGCACCUCUCAAUCACUCACCUCUUGCUAUUCAUUUAUUCCAGAGUGUUGAAGAUAUCUCAGAAGACUUGUGUUUCCAUUCUCAAUCCGUUCAAGUUAUUUCAAGGUUGUUAUCUCAUUCAAGCCAUUUAAUUUAACCGGUGCAACCUCUCUUUAAAAUCAUUUUCAACGGUGUUUUCUUUUGAGUGGGCCCUAACCCACAGGUCUUUUCCCAGGAUCUUACCUGACUCUUCUAAUUAUUCCGGGGCGAUUCUCAAAUUCAUUUCCAAGUUUGACGUAAGAAUGAAUUUUCAUUAGUCACAUGCCUUAUCCAAGAUCGAUUUCAAAUUCUUUUCAUCUCUGGCUCAACCUUUCCUCUUUUAAUCCUUCCAGAGUUUCUCAACAAUUUGGUGGUGUUUCUCCUCGUCAUUCUCAGCAUGGGAAGACCGAAGAAGAGUUUUCCCUUAAAUCUUUCUCCAUUCUCUUCAAGAUUCAUGGUUCUGGCUUGAUGCCAUCCUCUCAUAAUUGUUUUCGAUUGUGAGAAUUCUUUUCACCCAUUCGGAGCAUCUCAUGAGUUGUUUCCACUUCUUUCCUCCGAAGGUCAUCAUGUCAUAAUUCCUCAUUCUCAGCUUUCAGCUCUCGUUCUCCAAAAUCAUACCGGUGCAUCAUUCAAGUAUUAUCUAAUCAGCUCAGGAUCUCUGCGUUCACUUGGAUCUAAAUCCCCUCAAAUAUCUUCAUUCGUUUUCCAAUUCUUCCCGGUGAAUUGUGCCUUUGCUACAUUCAUUUUCAAUUCUUAUGGUGGUUCGUUCAAGAUUUCAAUUCCUUCGUUAUCAUAUUAAUUCAUUCGUUGUUUCCAAAUUCCAUCGAUGGUUCCAUCAAUACCUUCUCAAGUUUGCGCCAUAUCUAUCUUAAUCCUUUCUAAAAGAAUAAGUAGUGUGCCAAAUCCGUUGCUUGUCAUCAAUUUAAUUUGGUGAAGGAUACACAUAACAUAAUUCUUAUUCUUGUUUCAUCCAAGUGAUUAAUUCCUUCUUCUGAAGUUCGUAAUGGUAUCAAUUUCUCAGUUCUAAGCUGUUCAUCUCUUCUUUCCGGAGUUUGUUCAUCAUAUCACAUUCUCGGUUCAAGAUGCUUCAUCUUUUCUUUCCGGAUUUCAAAGUUUCUCGGUUAUAUCAUCCCGAAGCUUCAUCUUAUCAUUGCAACACUUCACCUUGUGUCUCAACUUCUCUUUCUUUCUAUCAUCCUUUUAUUACCGGAGUUCUUCAUGGAGUUCCUUCGUGGUGGUUCAUCAAGGAUUUAAUUCAUUCUCGAAGUGUUCUCAAGAUUCUUGUUGGAGGAGUUCAAGUAUUCUUCAUCUUGCAUUCCGAAGUGCAAUUCAUUCUACCUUAUCAUUUGAGCUGGUGUUAUGUCACUCUUGACAAUUUCGUUCAUGUUUCAUAAUUCACAUGUUGUCAAGAAUGAGGUAUUUAAACCCAUCAAUCUCUUCAUUGGAUUUAUAUUGGGUUAUAUUUCACCUAAAGCCUUCCCCAAGGAAUGUUGCUAUUUUGUGGUGAUUACGCAUGACCCAAGCUUGCUCUUUAUCCUCUUGGUGGAAGAAGUUUUCAUCUCUUCGUUGAUCUCAAGCAAGCAAUUGUUUUCGUUAGUGGCAGAAUUUCACCUCAAGUGUUGAGAUGUUUUCCAUAAGCCACAACAAGUUUGUGCUUCUCGUUGUUGAUUUUCCAACAACUCCGUUCGAUUCUUCUUUGCAAGGAUGCUUUCCAAGUUCACUUGUGGCAAAAGUUGUCAUUUUCUCCUCCGUCCCUUUAUCCCAACGGUCUAACUUCUAUUCUUUCGUUACGGAGGCAUUGUGAUGUUGUGCUCUUCACCCAUCACCUCGUUUUGUGAGGAUCGUGUUCUUUUCUUGCUUAUCCAUUUAACCGGAGUGUUGUAUCACCUCUUCAAUAUCUUUUCAUCUCAUCAAGUUUUCUUCUCUUUUCUACCGGAGUGCUGUCCAAAUUCUGUCAUUCUUGUUCCUUGGCUAUCUCAUUAUACCGAGGUGGUCAUAUUUUUUUCGUUCGUGAAGCUCUUAUUUCCAUGUCUUUCAACCUUCAAGUUCUCGUAAUGUUCCUUGUUCCUCUUUUCUAACGGAUUGUUCGCAAUCUCGUUCAUCUCUGUUGUACUCUUUCUUUUAAAUUGCUCAACCUCUCAAGGUUCGUGGUUUCACUCAUUUGUCGAAGAAGCAACUUAGUUUUACCUCUUCUCUUCCCUUUCUGUUUUCCCUUCGGUGCCAUCCUAGAUCUCGGGACGAGAUCCUCUCGUAGUGGUGGAGUGUUGUAACGCCCCGGAUACAACUUUCCAUAUUCGUAACUCCAACUCUUGCCUUUUCUGGAGAUGCGAUAUGAUAUUUCCUUCGUGGUUGGGUUUUUGUCUUUUGUUUUGCAUUUGUUCAUGUCUUGCAUCUCAUCUCAUGUCAUCAUUUGCAUUGCAUCGGCACUCGUUGCCAUCUUUGUUUUCAUAAAACUUGCAUGCGUUCGUAGUUGCGUUCCUCGCUUCUCUCCGUUGCCUUCGUUGACCGUUCCGAGACCAAUCGGGUUUUCGCUUCCCUCUUGACCGUGACCACCUAACCUCUCUUGCCAGCCCACAGACCCCUCGCGCGCGUCCGAAAGUUGUCCCGGACCCAACCCGGGUGUUGUUACCGAUGGGCCCGGAUCAUCCCCUAACAUCUACAAAACAUCUCUGUUUUCUCUUUUGGACUUCCUAAGCCUAUUUUUCUCGGACUGUCUGAUUUUGAUCCGAGGGUCGAGAUAGCCCCUAUCCUAAUCCACGUGAUGUAUAUAUAAUUACCCAACCCUAGAUCCUAGGCGCCUUGUCCCAUCCUUCCAUUCCCUCCGCCGCCACCCGACCAAAUCCCUUCGCUCUCGGGAUCCUCCUCUAGCCAACCACGUGCAGCCAUCCCCCUCCUUGCUUUCAUCCUCGAGCCAAUCCCCUCACUCGAUCCAGCAACCGUCCAAGCCUCCACCUUCCCUCGAUCCAAAAUCCCUUCGGGCUUCUCUGCGUCGAUCCCUGAGCUCCAUAGCCACCUCCACACGCCCUCGUCCGCGAGCACCUGAGGCUCCUGCCUCCUCCUCGUCGCCUCGCACCUCACCCCGGCAUUCCCGACCGCUUCGUCCCCGUGCUCGUCCCUCCAACGCCCGACCGAGGAGUUCCCCUCGGCCCCGGUGCCUGCAGCUCCCCCAGUCCUCCCGUCCUCUGCAGCCAUGAACAGCCCCAGGAGCUCCCUCGCAGCAGUCCGGAUCUGGUGCCUCGCCAGAGGACGCCGUCCUCGACCGGAGCCCAUGACCAGGCCGGCCCCGUCGCACCACCUCUCCCUUCCCCUGUUUCCCUCUAUCUCUCUGUCUCUCUUUCUCAUAGUUCCUGUCUCUCGACAGGGAAACCCAUCGCUGCCUCGUCGCCGCAGCAAUAGCAGCAGUUCGCCAAGCCCGACAACCGCUCCUCCUCUGUGCUCCCGUCGUCGCCCCUCGCUGACAGUCCCUCGCCCGUGCCAAGUUUCUAUCGCCGUUGCUCUUUCGCAAGCCGCCGCCGCGCCAAGACCCUGCUCCACAUCGGGCUCGGCUUCCUCGCCGUCUUCAGCGGCGACCAGAGCGCCAAGUCCCUCGCCUCGCCGCCCCUUUGCCCCGCUCACCGGACCUCAGAUCCCAGCCGCCAGCGCCCCUGUUUAGUGUGAACAGAACAAGCGCCUGCAUCGCUCGGUUCAGACGUGCGUUGACCAUGUGCGCACAGCAACCGCCUCGGCUAGGCCCAGUUCGUCCCGGCCGGCCUCUUCUUCAGUCAAGCCCAACCACUCCAACGACCCGGGCCAAGCCCAUGGGUGAGCAGCACCCCUGGCCUUUCCUCUAUUGGGCUAGUCAGAUUCGGCCCGUUCAUGUUUUUUUCCCUUGUCUGCGAUUUUAGCAUUAUCCACAGGAAACCCGUUUUGCAGAAAACCCCCUAGAGUUCAUGCAUUUAAUAACUCACAAAUGGUGCAUCAUAUGUAAAUGAUUUAUAUAUGUAAAGUGCUUAGAAUUUCAUCUAGUUUAAUAACAUCCCAUUUUCAUCCAUGUUUGAAAUGUUUAAAAUGCUAUUUGUUUAAAUUUGCUCAAAUGCCAUGUUAAAAUGAUUUAUUUCAUAACUAAAUAACCGUUGCUCCGUUUUAAAUAAACUUUAUAUGUAAAUGGGGUGGAAAAAUGCCUAGUUUAACAUGGUGCACUUUAUUUUGCUGUUUAACAACUUUAAAAUAUGUUUUAGGGCAGAACAGUACCAAAUUCAAAAUAUGCACAUGGGGAUUUUCCGGAAUUGUUGUUUGUUCUUCCGGCCUCAUUUAAACUUGCCGAAAUAGUUAGUUUACUUUUGUUACACCCCUUGCCAUGUUUAACAACAUUUAACAUUGUUGUGUACCUAAACGGGAGUGAACUAAAUAACUCGAUGUGGUGUUUUGUCAAUAUGCAACUCGUUGCAUAUUGAUCUCCACUUAACUUGUAGUGUGGUUUGUUGCACUUUGCCAUGCCAUGCCUCAUUAAACCGAACAUGCAUCAUACUUGUUUGUGCAUCAUGCCAUGUUUAUGCUUGUGCAUUUACCAUGUUGUUUGUUUCUUUCCGGUGUUGCUUCUUAGUUCCGGUAAUGUUGCGAUUGUGAGGAUUCAUUCGACUACUCCUGUUCGUCUUCUUCAUGGACUUGUUCUUCUUCCUAGCGGGAUUUCAGGCAAGAUGACCGCUACCCUGGAUCUCACUACUAUCAUUGCCAUGCUAGUUGCUUCGUUCUAUCGCUAUGCUGCGCUUCCUAGCACUUGUUCCUUAAGCCUCCCAAAUUGCCAUGAACCUCUAACCUUUGACACCCUUCCUAGCAAACCGUUGUUUGGCUAUGUUACCGCUUUGCUCAGCCCCUCUUAUAGCGUUGUUAGUUGCAGGUGAAGUUGAAGAUAGCUCCAUGGUGGACAGGGUUUAUGUUGGGAUAUCACAAUAUCUCUUAUAUUAUUAAUGCAUCUAUAUACUUGGUAAAGGGUGGAAGGCUCGGCCUUAUGCCUGGUGUUUUGUUCCACUCUUGCCGCCCUAGUUUCCGUCAUACCGGUGUUAUGUUCCCGGAUUUUGCGUUCCUAACGCGGUCGGGUGAUUUAUGGGACCCCCCUGACAGUUCGCUUUGAAUAAAACUUGUCCAGCAAGGCCCAACCUUGGUUUUACCAUUUGCCUCACCUAGCCCUUUUUCCCUUGGGUUUCUGGAGCCCAAGGGUCAUCUUUAUUUAACCCCCCCGGGCCAGUGCUCAUUGUGAGUGUUGGUCCAAAUUGUCAGCCGCCGGUGGCCACCAGGGGCAACUCUGGGCUCGCCUACCGGAAGUUUGGACAAUCCGGUGUGCCCUAAGAACGAGAUAUGUGCAGAUCCUAUCAGGAUUUGUCGGCACAUCCGGGCGGCUUUGCUGGUCUUGUUUUACCAUAGUAGAAAUGUCUUGUAAACCGGGAUUCCGAGUCUGAUCGGGUCUUCCUGGGAGAAGGUCUAUUCCUUCGUUGAUCGCGAGAGCUUGUCAUGGGCUAAGUUGGGACACCCCUGCAGGGUAUAAACUUUCGAGAGCCGUGCCCGCAGUUAUGUGGCAGAUGGGAAUUUGUUAAUGUCCGGUUGUAGAUAACUUGACACCUGAUUCGAACUAAAACGCAUCAAUCGUGUGUGUAGCCGUGAUGGUCUCUUCUUGGCGGAGUCCGGGAAGUGAACACGGUUUUGGGUUAUGAUUGACGUAAGUAGGUGUUCAGGAUCACCUCUUGAUCAUUGCUAGCUUCAUGACCGUUCCGCUUGUUUUCUCUUCUCGCUCUCUUUUGCGUAUGUUAGCCACCAUAUCAUGCUUAGUCGCUGCUGCAACCUCACCACUUUACCCCUUCCUUUCCCAUUAAGCUUUGCUAGUCUUGAUACCCAUGGUAAUGGGAUUGCUGAGUCCUCGUGGCUCACAGAUACUUCCAAAACCAGUUUGCAGGUGCCUAUGUUACCGAGCAGGUGACGCAACCAAGCUCAAGGAGGAGCUCGAUGAAGAUCUUGCCCUUUGUGUUGUUUCGUUCUAGUUGAUCAGUAGUGGAGCCCAGUUGGGGUCGAUCGGGG
rnacentral:lncRNA from 1 species